rnacentral:rRNA from 1 species
AUGUGCAUACCGAAAGUUAGGGGAGGCAUGGGGUUUAGGGAUCUCCAUGCUUUUAACUUAGCAAUGUUGGCAAAACAGAGUUGGAGAUUGAUAACACAUCCUGAAACUUUAUGUCCCAGAGUCUUACGAUGUAAAUACUUCCCUGACGGUAAUCUUCUUAAGGCGAGGCCAAAGAAGGGGUCAGAUUAUUAA